AAUGAACGCUGGCGGCAGGCCUAACACAUGCAAGUCGAGCGAGCGGCGGACGGGUGAGUAAUGCAUGGGGACCGCCCGAUAGAGGGGGAUAAAUACUGGAAACGGUGGCUAAUACCGCAUACUGCUGGCUAACCCAUAUGGGAUGAGCUAGUAGGUAAGGUAAUGGCGUACCUAGGCGACGAUCCCUAGCUGGUCUGAGAGGAUGAUCAGCCACACUGGGACUGAGACACGGCCCAGACUCCUACGGAGGCAGCAGUGGGGAAUAUUGCACAAUGGGCGCAAGCCUGAUGCAGCCAUGCCGCGUGUAUGAAGAAGGCCCUAGGGUUGUAAAGUACUUUCAGUCGGGAGGCGUUACCGACAGAGAAAGCACCGGCUAACUCCGUGCCAGCAGCCGCGGUAAUAC
rnacentral:rRNA from 1 species